rnacentral:rRNA from 1 species
AACGAACGCUGGCGGCAGGCUUAACACAUGCAAGUCGAACGGGUGUAGCAACACACCAGUGGCAGACGGGUGAGUAACACGUGGGAACCUUCCUAGGGGUACGGAACAACUCAGGGAAACUUGAGCUAAUACCGUAUACGUCCGUGAGGAGAAAGAUUUAUCGCCCUUAGACGGGCCCGCGUCGGAUUAGCUAGUUGGUGGGGUAACGGCCUACCAAGGCGACGAUCCGUAGCUGAUCUUAGAGGAUGAUCAGCCACACUGGGACUGAGACACGGCCCAGACUCCUACGGGAGGGAGCAGUGGGGAAUCUUGGACAAUGGGCGCAAGCCUGAUCCAGCCAUGCCGCGUGAGUGAAGAAGGUCUUCGGAUUGUAAAGCUCUUUUGCCAGGGACGAUAAUGACGGUACCUGGAGAAUAAGCCCCGGCAAACUUCGUGCCAGCCGCCGCGGUAAAAC